rnacentral:rRNA from 1 species
GACGAACCGUGCAAACGUUGUUCGGAAUCACUGGGCUUAAAGGGCGCAUAGGCGGGCGAUCAAGUCCGGGGUGAAAUCUUUCGGCUUAACCGGAAAACGGCCUUGGAUACUGAUCGUCUUGAGGGAGGUAGGGGCAGGUGGAACUUCCGGUGGAGCGGUGAAAUGCGUUGAUAUCGGAAGGAACGCCGGUGGCGAAAGCGACCUGCUGGAUCUCCGCUGACGCUGAGGCGCGAAAGCCAGGGGAGCAAACGGG